rnacentral:misc_RNA from 1 species
AACUGAUACUACCUGCGGGAACCUGCGGAAGGAUCAUUGCUGGAACGCGCCCCAGGCGCACCCAGAAACCCUUUGUGAACUUAUACCUUACUGUUGCCUCGGCGCAUGCCGGCCCCCAGGGGCCCCUCGGAGACGAGGAGCAGGCACGCCGGCGGCCAACCUAACUCUUGUUUUUACACUGAAACUCUGAGAAAAAAAACAAAAUGAAUCAAAACUUUCAGCAACGGAUCUCUAGAUCGG